UCUUCCGUAGUAUAGUGGUCAGUAUGUGAGCUUGUCAACAUUCUUUGGGUAUUGCCUCCGCUCGAGACCCGGGUUCAAUUCCCGGCGGGAGAG